rnacentral:lncRNA from 1 species
GAUACAGAUUGUGAUGACGCUGUGGAAGUUCAGUGGCCCUUGCAGUAUAAACGAAGCUGUUAACCAUGCUAACCUUAUGAGCUAUGAGGUUCAGAACAAACUUUUAAGCUCAAUUGCUUUAUGGAUUCUAUCAACUACACUGAUCAGAUAUUCACCAGCUACAGUGGGAGUGAGGACAUGUGCCUCACUAUGUUAAGAUGUCUUAAUCUAGAGACAAAAUAACCUACAGAAACAAGGAAGCAUUUGAAAAAGUAAUUGAGUAUAUGCACAAAGGAAUAAAGAUGAGAAAACGGCAGUAAAGUUUUUUACU